rnacentral:rRNA from 1 species
GUAGUCAUAUGCUUGUCUCAAAGAUUAAGCCAUGCAUGUCUAAGUACAAACCUUAAUACGGUGAAGCCGCGAAUGGCUCAUUAAAUCAGCUAUGGUUCCUUAGAUCGUCUCAUCCUACUCGGAUAACUGUGGAAAAUCUAGAGCUAAUACGUGCUUACAAGCCCUGACCUCGCGGGAGGGGCGCAUUUAUUAGAUCAAAACCAAUCGGGGCUUGCUCCGUCUGCUUGGUGACUCUGGAUAACUUUUGUGCUGAUCGCAUGGCCUCUGCGCUGGCGACGUAUCUUUCAAGUGUCUGCCCUAUCAACUUACGAUGGUAGGUGAUAUGCCUACCAUGGUUACAACGGGUAACGGGGAAU